CCCUGUUGAUAUUUUACAAGUUUGCAGAAGCUGAGGUACCAGGAAGUGACCUCAGUUUCAAGCUGAGAGGUGGCCUGGUGAUGAUAGUCAGUAGUCAAGUCUACACCUUGACUAUCAGUGAGAUGAUUCAACUGCAGAGAGAUAUCGUUCUGAAAUUGAUGGCACUCAUACAUAGUUCUCCACAUUUUUUUCAGCCCAGAAGUUAUUGUGACAAGUUGAGGAUACAGCUCCACAUCAAUGAGCUCCAAUAUUGUAGAACGAGUAUUACUUAUUGAAUGCUGCAGGCGUC
rnacentral:misc_RNA from 1 species